rnacentral:rRNA from 1 species
UACAGAGGGUGCUAGCGUUGUUCGGAAUCAUUGGGCGUAAAGGGCGUGUAGGCGGUUUGUUAAGUCAUGUGUGAAAUCCCUCGGCUCAACCGAGGAAAGACGCAUGAAACUGGCAAGCUAGAGUACCGAAGAGGGGGGUGGAAUUCCCGGUGUAGCGGUGAAAUGUGUAGAGAUCGGGAGGAACACCGGUGGCGAAGGCGGUCUUCUGGACGGUGACUGACGCUGAGGCGCGAAAGCGUGGGGAGCAAACGGG